rnacentral:rRNA from 1 species
ACUCAAAGGAAUAGACGGGGGCCCGCACAAGCGGUGGAGCAUGUGGUUUAAUUCGACGCAACGCGAAAAACCUUACCAGGGCUUGACAUCCUCUGAAUCUGUUAGAAAUAGCGGAGUGCCUUUCGGGGAACAGAGAGACAGGUGGUGCAUGGUUGUCGUCAGCUCGUGUCGUGAGAUGUUGGGUUAAGUCCCGCAACGAGCGCAACCCCUGUAUUUAGUUGCUAACGGUUAAAGCCGAGUACUCUAGAUAGACUGCCGGUGAUAAACCGGAGGAAGGUGGGGAUGACGUCAAAUCAUCAUGCCCCUUAUGUUCUGGGCGACACACGUGCUACAAUGGGCGGUACAGACGGAAGCGAAGCCGUGAGGCGGAGCAAAUCCGAGAAAGCCGUUCUCAGUUCGGAUUGCAGGCUGCAACUCGCCUGCAUGAAGUUGGAAUCGCUAGUAAUCGCGAAUCAGCAUGUCGCGGUGAAUACGUUCCCGGGCCUUGUACACACCGCCCGU